rnacentral:rRNA from 1 species
GAUGAAUGCUGGCGGCGUGCCUAACACAUGCAAGUCGAGCGGCAGCGAGUUUUACACUGAAUUCUGGAAGCUUCUGAGUAGUACAGAAGAUUUAUUCAAGAGUUUUGUGUAAAAUGUCGGCGAGCGGCGGACGGCUGAGUAACGCGUAGGAAUUUGCCCCAAAGUGAGGAAUAACUGCCCGAAAGGGUAGCUAAUGCCGCAUAUGGUCUUCGGAUUAAAGCCUUCGGGCGCUUUGGGAGAAGCCUGCGUUGGAUUAGGUAGUUGGUAGGGUAAUGGCCUACCAAGCCGACGAGCCAUAGCUGGUCUGAGAGGAGGAUCAGCGAGACUGGAACUGAGACCCGGUCCAGACUCCUACGGGAGGCAGCAGUGAGGAAUCAUCCACAAUGGGCGAAAGCCUGAUGGAGCAAGGCCGCGUGAAGGAUGAAGGCGUUCGGGUUGUAAACUUCUUUUAUGAGUGAAGAAUAUGACGGUAACGCAAGAAUAAGCCCCGGCUACUUACGU